rnacentral:rRNA from 1 species
UACGUAGGGGGCAAGCGUUAUCCGGAAUUACUGGGUGUAAAGGGAGCGUAGACGGUAAUGUAAGUCUGGAGUGAAAGGCGGGGGCCCAACCCCCGGACUGCUCUGGUAACUAUGUUACUAGAGUGCAGGAGAGGUAAGCGGAAUUCCUAGUGUAGCGGUGAAAUGCGUAGAUAUUAGGAGGAACACCAGUGGCGAAGGCGGCUUACUGGACUGUAACUGACGUUGAGGCUCGAAAGCGUGGGGAGCAAACAGG